rnacentral:tRNA from 2 species
GCAGUCGGGGCCGAGGGAUUAACGCGAUGGAUCAGAAAUCCAUUGGGGUCUCCCCGCACAGGUUCGAAUCCUGUUGACUGCG